rfam:Listeria monocytogenes EGD-e, complete genome
UUAAAAACGAUUAUUAGAGACAAGUAAGUUUUUUAGAUAAAGGAUACAAAGCGAGUUGGUGCAUGGUGCGAGACCAGCUAUCCUCUAGAAAAUCGAAAUCACUCUUUAGUUCUAACCCGAAAGAGCAACCGCUUGAGUAAGUGUUAGCGCGAGCCAGCGUUAUGGCAUUAAUGAAGUGGGCAAGCAGUUAAAAUGCAUGUCAACAAGGGUGGUACCGCGAAUCUCGUCCCUUUU